CCUACGGGUGGCAGCAGUGAGGAAUAUUGGUCAAUGGCCGGAAGGCUGAACCAGCCAAGCCGCGUGAAGGACGAAGGUGCCAAGCAUUGUAAACUUCUUUUGUCAAGGGACAAAAUCAGGCUCGAGAGCCUGACCGAGGGUACUUGAAGAAAAAGCAUCGGCUAACUCCGUGCCAGCAGCCGCGGUAAUACGGGGGGUGCAAGCGUUGUCCGGAAUCAUUGGGCGUAAAGAGUUCGUAGGUGGCACGUUAAGUCUGGUGUUAAAGGCGGAAGCUCAACUUCCGUAGGGCACUGGAUACUGGCGAGCUUGAAUGCGGUAGAGGUAAAGGGAAUUCCUGGUGUAGCGGUGAAAUGCGUAGAUAUCAGGAGGAACAUCGGUGGCGUAAGCGCUUUACUGGGCCGUAAUUGACACUGAGGAACGAAAGCCGGGGUAGCAAAUGGGAUUAGAUACCCUUGUAGUC
rnacentral:rRNA from 1 species